rnacentral:rRNA from 1 species
AGAAUCAACGCUGGCGGCGUGCCUAACACAUGCAAGUCGCACGAGAAAGGGACUUCGGUCCUGAGUACAGUGGCGCACGGGUGAGUAACACGUGAAUAAUCUACCUCCGAGUGGGGAAUAACUGAGAGAAAUCUUAGCUAAUACCGCAUAACACUUACGAGUCAAAGGAGCAAUUCGCUUAAGGAGGGGGUCGCGGCCGAUUAGUUAGUUGGCGGGGUAAUGGCCCACCAAGACUGUGAUCGGUA